rnacentral:lncRNA from 1 species
UGCUGAACCAGCUGGGCUCUUACAGCCUGUUUACAGUUGGGAGCUGCACUGUGAGAGACUGAGGACAGUCAGAAAUACAGGCACUUCCAGAAUAGUGGGAGGCAAGGCGGCCCUAAGACGCUGGUAAAUUAGGGCAGCAUUAACUCACAGCCUAGGUCCGGGCCAGUCUUAAUCAUGCCAAAGGAGGUGGCUGUGUUUCACUGAGAAGACUUCACUGAAAACCUUGGACCUAGCUGGUAGCCUCAAAAUGGAGGCAGCUGUUGAGUCUGCCUGGCCAUGCCAUCCCUAUGGCGUGGCCUGGCAUUCUCAGGUGUGAUCUCCUCAGACCCCAGCAGGUGAUCCAUUUUGGUGGCUGAUCCAUGACAGGCUGCUGGGCAGGAAGAUGAUUUAAAUCCCGCAUUGAAGUGGAGGUAUAAUUCAGGCCAUAUGUCAGGGCUGUGGGUGUAGAAGCGGGUGGGUGAGGGAACAUGGCUGAAGUGGAGAAAUAAGCACUGAGUCAGCAGCAGAGAUGAUUGAAAUUUAUCCAAAACAUAUUGCCUAAGAUUUUGGUAGCACCUCCAGUAUUACUAAUGAGGAGGCUGAGAGGUUUGGAGCUGCACUGACUGGCAG